AUUCCAGCUCCAAUAGCGUAUACUAAAGUUGUUGCAGUUAAAAAGCUCGUAGUUGAAUUUCUGGUCGUGAAAAGUGGUCCGUUCCGCAAGGAAUGUGUACUGUCUAUUCAUGUCCAUCCUCGGAGUUAGUGUGUAUUACUUUAAUCGGUCGUGCAUGCAAUACUUCGUCAUUUACUGUGAGCAAAAUAGAGUGUUCAAAGCAGGCUUAUGCCGUUGAAUAUAUUAGCAUGGAAUAAUAAGAUAUGACUUUGGUCUAUUUUGUUGGUUUGCACUCCAAAGUAAUGAUUAACAGGGACAGUCAGGGGCACUCGUAUUCCGCCGAGAGAGGUGAAAUUCUCAGACCAGCGGAAGACGAACCACAGCGAAAGCAUUUGCCAGGGAUGUUUUCAUCG
rnacentral:rRNA from 1 species